GGGAUCUUUUUCUCGUGAUUCCUUCCUUUGAAGUUUUCUACUGUAAGCUUAGGACACAAUUCCUACUUCAGAUCUAUGUGCUGAGGCUGAGUGAGGUUAUUAGAUAAAUGCCUGUGGCCUGAGAAGCCUGAGGGGUGGCUGUAAUGAGAAGAUUUCUACCAGCUGGUCCAAAAUCUUCAAGUUGCCUACCUGACUGCUGAAAGAAAGCCAAGAUGGUAUCCUUUGAGAGGUGGGUCAAUGCCCCAUGUGUCUACAUGGCAGGAUAACUUCAGUGAUGGAGAAAUCUUGAAGUCCUGGCUAUUGCUUUCAGAUGACCCCACAGGUCUUCUCAAGGCAUUUUCUGACAGGAUGAAGAGGAGAAACAGCAGUGGUGAUGGGUGUGACUAUAUGAAGACAUGCACAAGGACUGUGACAAGAACAGUCUUCACUGAUGCAACUUAAACUGCUGUAGAUGGACAUAAAAGUCGCACCCAGCAAAAUUUCCGUCCUGUGGAGAAGAACUCAAACUCCUGCAUGCUCUGAGAAUCUCCCAUUUUGCUUUUUCCCUGUCUUUGAAAGAAUAAUAAAUAAGGCUUCUUAAUAAGUCAUGAAUUAAUUACAAAGUGCAUGACAAACGUUAUCGGAAGAAAUUAAGUCCAUGCUCCUUGCUACGGCUGAAUCGAGGUGUCUGUCAUAUCUUGACUUCAUGGCAGAACGCAUUCUGAAAUUAAGAUGAAUAACUUAAUUUCUAGCUUCCAAUGAUUCCUCCUCAUAUACUGCAAAAAGGGCAAAGCAGAAGGGAGGGAGGAAAGAUUAAAAAGAGCAGUGCCAGUUAUUUGGGGAAGUCAUUGUUUGUCUGCAUUUGGGAAGAAAGGGACACCAUUUGGCAGCAUGGCAUGUCACUGUUUUGGUUCCAGCUGAUGAUCAUUGUGUGAAUUGAGCUGUAAGGAGAGCUGCCCAUUGACCAGCAUUGAUUGCUGUUGUCGACAGGUGCUAAUGUUCAUAGGGCAGAUCACAGCUGCUUGCACAGGGUUCCCAUUAUCCUUUGCUGGGUAUUGAUUCUCCCUGUGGGAUGUUUCCUUCCUAGCUGUGUUAAUUUUCAGAGCACAUAUUUGCAUUGGUUUGUGCUGAGAGGGAUAGUCAGAGGUGCCUUGGAUAUGUUUAAUGGCCUUACCCCCUCCCCUUUUACCCCCAAUCCCUUGAGUCUUUAGAGACUAUGUCUGUUGGGAUCCAAGUUUCCUCUAAUUAUGGUGCACAUUAAGGGACAGGCUCUAUGAAGAAUAUCAUUACUAUUCCUGUAAUUGCUUCAGGUGCACUCAAAAAUUAAUCAGAAAGCACACAAUGGGUUUUUUGUUUUGGUGUGGAUUUUAUUUUGAGUCCUUUCUGAGCCUAAAGACUUGCUGCCUAUGUAUAGAGCUUAUACAAGUGUAACAUGGAAGGGAUGGGAAAGUAGAUCAGGAGGAUGCCAGGGCAGGGACUAUUGCUUCCUUUCAGCACUAUUUUGGUGAUGCACACAAUUGAUUAACUGAUGGACCUCAGUUACCUGCAAACUAGAAUGUUAAUGCAAUGCAUUCCUUUUGCAUUGGUAUAAAUAGCUUUCAGUGUUGAGUGGAUUUGUCUAUUGGCAGGUGUCUGAACUGUGCCCAGAGCUGUGGUAGGAUCUUGCAGAGUCUUUUGGUACUGUAUAACAGUUGUUAUAGGAAUGGCAUCUUAUCCAUCUACCUUAAUGAGUCAAAGAAACCUAAAUUAUCUUUUGUUUUGUUUUGUUUUUUCUUUUUUUUUCUUUUUUUUUUUUUCUGAAAAGGAGGUAGUGCUACGAGUAACAGCAAAAAUAUUCAGCGAAAGAGACUUUUCCUUAGUUUUGGCAAGUGUAAUUACCAUCGUGCAAAUGCUGUCUCCACAUAUGAAAAAAUGUUAUAAAUUUUGUCUCUGUAACAUGGAAAUGGAACAACUAAUUUAGGUUCACUGAAUAAAGUAUAGCUUUGCUCGGAUAAAUGGGUCCCAAUUUAGUAUCCUUCCUUAAGGCAUCUUUAUUUCUGAGGUCUGAGUAGAAAGAAAGAAUACAUCUGAACCUAUUUAGCCCUACAGCUGAAAUAGUUAGGUUAUGGUUCUUCUCUAAUCAAUAACACCCCCAAAAUGGGUAUAACUAUCUUCAGCCCUGCAGUUUAAAUGAACAGGUAGUCAUUUGUAGCUGAAUAAUCUUCAGCAUGGGGCCAACACUCGGAUUAAAACCUCUGGAACCACACUCCAAUAUUUGUGAUUUUCUAGUGGAGUUGUGGAACGUGGCAUUAUAAUAAAAACAAUUCUUCAAGCUUCAGGAUAUCAGAGUAGUUACCGCACCUGGGAAGUAUGAAACCUUAAAUAUUA